AUUGAACGCUGGCGACAGGCCUAACACAUGCAAGUCGAGCGCGAAAGUCUUCGGAUGAGUAAAGCGGCGAACGGGUGAGUAAUGCAUGGGAAUCUGCCUGGUAGUGGGGGACAACGUCUCGAAAGGGACGCUAAUACCGCAUACGCCCUACGGGGGAAAGGGGGGGAUCUUCGGACCUCUCGCUAUCAGAUGAGCCCAUGUCAGAUUAGCUAGUUGGUGAGGUAAAGGCUCACCAAGGCGACGAUCUGUAACUGGUCUGAGAGGAUGAUCAGUCACACUGGAACUGAGACACGGUCCAGACUCCUACGGGGAGGCAGCAGUGGGGAAUAUUGGACAAUGGGGGCAACCCUGAUCCAGCCAUGCCGCGUGUGUGAAGAAGGCCCUAGGGUUGUAAAGCACUUUCAGUGGGGAGAAAGGUUAUUCACCUAAUACGUGAGUAGAUUGAUGUUACCCACAGAAGAAGCACGGCUAACUCCGUGCCAGCAGCCGCGGUAAU
rnacentral:rRNA from 1 species